AUAGGGAAACAUUAAUUUAGCCUUUCCCAAAUUGGGCGAUAACGCCCACUUGUGGGCGCUGAUGGUCUAAAGGGGAGUGGUGUGGGACCCACAAAAAAUGGGGGUGUUGUGUAGAGGCUUGGGGAUGAC